CUGUAGUAAUUCUAGAGCUAAUACAUGCCACUAUGCCCUGAUYCGCUAGGGAACGGGUGGAUUUAUUAGAACAGAACCAACCGGGGGAGGCUUCGGCUGACCCUGUUGUACUCUGUGAUGACUCUGGAUAACUUUACUGAUCGCAGUCGGCCUUGUGUCGGCGACGGAUCUUUCAAAUGUCUGCCCUAUCAACUUUCGAUGGUAGGUGAUCUGCCUACCAUGGUGAUAACGGGUAACGGGGAAUCAGGGUUCGAUUCCGGAGAGGGAGCCUGAGAAACGGCUACCACAUCCAAGGAAGGCAGCAGGCGCGAAAAUUACCCACUCCCGGCACGGGGAGGUAGUGACGAAAAAUACGAAUACGGGACUCACUCGAGGCUCCGUAAUUCGAAUGAGUACAAUCUAAAUCCUUUAACGAGGACCAAUUGGAGGGCAAGUCUGGUGCCAGCAGCCGCGGUAACUCCAGCUCCAAAAGCGUAUAUUAAAGUUGCUGCAGUUAAAAAGCUCGUAGUUGGAUCUGGGUCGUGCGUUCACAUGUCGUUUCUUGAAUCUGGCUUCGGUCAGAUUCAAGUGAUGAUACAGUGGUCGUGCAGCCUUUCAGCCGUGUCUGCGUAAGCAGGUGUUGGCUGGCUGGUGAGCUUGCUUGCUGGCUAGUCGGCAUGUUUCCUGAUGCCUUUAAACGGGUGUCGGGGGCGUACGGCACUUUUACUUUGAACAAAUUUGAGUGCUCAAAGCAGCCCAUGUGCCUGAAAAGUCUUGCAUGGAAUAAUGGAAUAGGACUUCGGUUCUAUUUUGUUGGUUUCCGGAUCCGAAGUA
rnacentral:rRNA from 2 species